GGCCCGGUAGCUCAGUUGGUAGAGCAGAGGAUUGAAAAUCCUUGUGUCGGCGGUUCGAUUCCGUCCCAGGCCA
rnacentral:tRNA from 3 species